GCGGAGUAGAGCAGUCUGGUAGCUCGCGGGGCUCAUAACCCUGAAGUCAAAGGUUCAAAUCCUUUUUCCGCCA
rnacentral:tRNA from 1 species